CAGAUGAAGAAGAAGGAGGAUACCCAGAUGAAGAUGGAGGGUACCCAGAUGAAGAAACUUGUGAGGGAGGGUAAUUAUGAGGGUGGUUGUAGUUUGAAGAAGGAGGUGGAGGUUGGGUGUAGUUGUUGUAAGAUGGAGGUGGGGGUUGGGUGUAGUUAGUAUUUUGGGAGGUGUAGUUAGAAGGUGGUGGUAAUUCAGGUGCAGAUGGAGCGUAUGAUUGAGGAGAAUUGUAUCUGCCGUAGGAAGACAUUGAUUUGAUUGAUGGUGUUGUUGAAAAUUGAAAGAGG
rnacentral:lncRNA from 1 species